UACGGGGGGGGCAAGCGUUGUUCGGAAUUACUGGGCGUAAAGGGCUCGUAGGCGGCCAACUAAGUCAGACGUGAAAUCCCUCAGCUUAACUGGGGAACUGCGUCUGAUACUGGAUGGCUUGAGUUCGGGAGAGGGAUGCGGAAUUCCAGGUGUAGCGGUGAAAUGCGUAGAUAUCUGGAGGAACACCGGUGGCGAAGGCGGCAUCCUGGACCGACACUGACGCUGAGGAACGAAAGCUAGGGGAGCAAACGGG
rnacentral:rRNA from 1 species